UUACUUCAGCAGCACAUAUACUAAAAUUGGAACGAUACAGAGGAAAUUAGCAUGACCCUGUGCAAGGAUGACACACAAAUUCAUGAAGCAUCUCAUGUUUUU